rnacentral:misc_RNA from 1 species
UUAUUAAAAUACAAGGAGGAAUAUAAUGAAAUCAAUAAAGGGUUAUAUUUUAUAGAUUAUGACGGAAGACUGCAUAAAUAAGUGAAAUAGAAACAACAUUAAUUAUUACUAGAUAGUUGAUUAAAUAUUAAAUGGAAUUUAUUAUUAAAAAAACUACGUGUAAAGAUGAUGUCGAUUCGUGGAAGAAUAAAAAAUGUCUUAUCAAAGAGGCAUUCAAAUCGAUGGACACAGAUUCAGAUGGUUAUUUAAAUUAUUAUGAAGCUAAAACAGCUAUGAAAGCUUUGGGGUUAAGAAUAAAUAAAUCUUUUGUUUUAUCGACUAUUCGCAUGUACGAUAAACGUGGUGAUAGUAAAAUUAGUUUUGAUGAUUUUUAUUUCGUUGUUGACGAAGCUGAAUUCAUUGAAAUGAUGACUGAGUCAUAAAAUUAUUCCAAAUUAUUAGAAAAUUGUAUGGGAAAUUAUAUUAUUUAUUUCAUCGGUUAAAA